UACGGAGGGUGCGAGCGUUGUCCGGAAUCAUUGGGCGUAAAGGGCGCGUAGGUGGCCCGGUCAGUUCGUGGUGAAAGCGCGGGGCUCAACUCCGCGUCGGCCAUGAAUACUGCUGGGCUGGAGCACUGUAGAGGCAGGCGGAAUUCCGGGUGUAGCGGUGGAAUGCGUAGAGAUCCGGAAGAACACCGGUGGUGAAGACGGGUGACUGGGCUAGUUCUGACACUGAGGCACGAAAGCGUGGGGAGCGAACGGG
rnacentral:rRNA from 1 species